rnacentral:rRNA from 1 species
CCCUACGGGACGCAGCAGUGAGGAAUAUUGGUCAAUGGACGCAAGUCUGAACCAGCCAAGUAGCGUGCAGGAUGACGGCCCUCCGGGUUGUAAACUGCUUUUAGUUGGGAAUAAAAGGGGGCUCGUGAGCCCCGUAUUGUAUGUACCAUCAGAAAAAGGACCGGCUAAUUCCGUGCCAGCAGCCGCGGUAAUACGGAAGGUCCGGGCGUUAUCCGGAUUUAUUGGGUUUAAAGGGAGCGUAGGCCGGCUUUUAAGUCAGCUGUGAAAGUCCGCGGCUCAACCGUUGAAUUGCAGUUGAAACUGGG